UAAAAGUUUUUUAGCUUUAUAUUUUUAUAAAAUUUUAUUUUAGAUGUAAAUUUUAGUGUUAAUAAUUUAAAAUUUAAAUAGUUAUAAGAUAUUUGUAAUUUACAGUAAAUAGUUUUAAUUUAUUUAAGAGAUUAAGAAUUAGUAAUUGUUUUUAGUAUAAACUAAAUUUGUGCCAGCAGUUGCGGUUAUACAAAUUAUGCAAUAAAAGUUUAUUUGGUAAAAGUUGAUUAAGAUAGCUGAGUUUGUAUUUAAAUUUAUUAAGUGAAAUUUUAAAUUUUAAUAAAUUUUUAUAAUUUAAUUAUUCUAGGAAAUUUUAUAUAAAACUAGGAUUAGAUACCCUAUUAUAAAAAAGUAAUUAGUUUAUGCCAAAUUAGUAUCAGGUGUUCUUGAAAAUUAAAAAUUUUGGCGGUACUUUAGUCUAUUUAGAGGAAUCUGCCCUGUAAUUGAUAUUCCACGAGUUAAUUUACUUAUUUUUUUAGUUUGUAUAUCGCCGUAGUUGAAUAUUUUAAAUGGAUUCUAAUAUUCAAAAAUUUUAUUAAAAAUAAAUCAGGUCAAGAUAUAGUUUAUAAAUAAGAAGAGGUGGGUUACAUUAUUUUUAUAUGUGAAAAUUCUAUUGAAAAUAGAGUAGAAAAUGGAUUUAAAAGUAAUUUUUUAUUUAUUUAAAAAAUGAUUUAAGCUCUAAAGUAUGUACAUAUUGCCCGUCGCUUCCUCUUUAAAGGGGAAUAAGUCGUAACAUAGUAGGGGUACUGGAAAGUGUUUCUAGAAAAUC
rnacentral:ncRNA from 1 species